GGCUUCCCUGGCCCCGAAUGGCUGGCCGCAGGCAGGGCUGGCAGGAGGAGGCCACCACCACCCUUCGUGUCCCAGGAGGGCAUGGACAGUUGAGAGCGCCCAUAGGAACACUGCACAGUGGAGAACGCAUGCAGGCCUCCAACCAUGGCCAGGGCCCUGUGGCGUGGCCCCGUGUCUACCUGUAAAGGUGUGGGGCAGACUUGAGGAGCUCUAACCCGGCGCCUGGGACUUCAACUUCAGCCUCGUGCCUUGCUGCCAUUUGGGCCUUUCCUGCAGUCGUAUAACUGACAGACAGGUCAGGGCUGGAGGCUCCCCUCGGAGCACAGGCAGCACCUCUGCCGUGGGAGGACCCGGCUUCGGCCACAGAACCGGCCACUUAUAGAUGCUCGGAGCAGACAGUCAAGACUAGGGGGAGUUUGUGAGCUGGGUGACAUCUGGUUGGUCCCCUGAAAUCUGCCACGGUGGGCAGUUACACCACAGCCACGGGCAAAUGCUGCAAACCAGGACCCCCUCCCCAAGAUGGAUGCUCAAUGUUGUCAGCACCCUGCGUGGCAACCUCACUUCCUCCCACCCCACCCCAGAGUGCAAAGGACUUCAAACUACACACAACACAGCUCACCCACCAAGCAUGCCAGCAUGAGAGAACAUGCCUCAACUCCUGGGGUGCCCACCUGUGCCAGGGUCUCAUCCAGGGAAGCUCCUCACACCCACCCUCUUCUACACCCUCCUGAGGUGAGCAGUUGCCUCCAUGCCUCUCCAUCUCACCCACCCAGUGCUCACAGCCCCAGGCUGCAACCCUGGUGGGGAGGGCAGCUGUGCCGGUUUCUGUGUCCUCACCCCAGACAGACAGCUGCUGUGCCGGGCACAAGCCUGGGGUCACCCCAAACGCCUCUCUUCCUACUGCCCGAGGCCAGAGCGUGGCAGCAGUGCCCCUCACCACCACCACUUGCUAGGAUUUCCAUGAAGCCCUCCCAGCAGGGCUCCCUGCUCUGCCCCACAAGGACCGCCUAGUCCACACCGCAAGGUGAUCCUGUUAAAACCAAGUUGGAUCAAGUCAUUGGUCCGCUCAAAACCUCCCAGGGGCUCCAUGUGACUCAGAGUGAAAGCGAGUCCUGCCCCCCCGCCGGCUGGUGGGACCUGGGGUGACCCAGGGUGACCGAGUCCUGAGACCUGUAUCCUGUCUCCUGUGACUUGCAGCCCUCCCUCAAGGCCUGGACAGCAGCAGGCUCCUGCCCUUCCAAGGCCUCCAGGCCCUGAGGGUGCAGCUUGCCUCCAGCUCCACUACCUGGCAGAAACACACCGACCCCAACAAGAACUGGAAGGCUGAGGGGUGCAGUGUAAAAAGCCCCUGGCACACACUGGCAGGCGACUGCCCCACCCUCAGUGGCGAGGCAUGGUGACCUCACCUCUCCUCUCCUGGAACACAAACCCUGCCCUCUGAGACACCUACACCCCACACACUCAGAUUUUUGCAAAAACUCGAGGACAACACGAUACCAUGGUACCAGGACCCAACACCUGGCAAGGACCACACCGGGCAGGACGAGACCAGGAGGCGACAGUCAGACAGAGAAGCUAAAGAAACCAGGAGGCAUCUGUGCAAGGGAGCCCCACACGGACACUGGAAAGAACCAGGGCGACCUGCAGAUCAACUUGAAAGACCUCCCCUAGGGCGAUGGAAAUGAGAUGAGGCAAACGGCUUCCCGAUCAGAGCUCACGCACCUUCCACAUCUGUGCAGGGAGCUCGGGGCCACAUCCCGAGACGGGAAAGACAACUGAGGCUUCCACAAAGAAAUUACAAUGAAACAGACACUGGCCAGGCCAGCCGAAAAUCAGUGAUGGACUACGGUCCAAAUCGACGUGGAGGUUCCAACAAGAGAAAGACAGUGGUGGGGUCACCCUACUCCAGCCUCCGAGUGCCCCAGAGGGCGCACAAGCAGGACA